rnacentral:rRNA from 1 species
AAUAUCGGUGCCAGCCGCCGCGGUAAUACCGAAGCCCCAAGUGGUCGUCGUUAUUAUUGGGCCUAAAACGUCCGUAGCCGGUUUGGUACAUUCGUGGGUAAAUCAGACAGCUUAACUGUUUGAAUUCUGCGAGGACGGCCAAACUUGAGACCGGGAGAGGUGUAGGGUACCUGCGGGGUAGGGGUAAAAUCCUGUCAUCCCGUAGGGACCACCUGUUGCGAAGGCGCUACACUAGAACGGAUCUGACGGUCAGGGACGAAGCCUAGGGGCACGAACCGGAUUAGAUACCCGGGUAGUCCUAGGUGUAAACGCUGUGGACUUGGUGUCGGGAAUCUCUAGAGGAUUCUCGGUGCCGUAGUGAAGAUGUUUAGUCCACUGCCUGGGGAGUACGGUCGCAAGGCUGAAACUUAAAGGAAUUGGCGGGGGAGCACUGCAAC